UACGUAGGGGGCAAGCGUUAUCCGGAUUUACUGGGUGUAAAGGGAGCGCAGACGGAAUUGUAAGCCAGAAGUGAAAGCCCGGGGCUCAACCCCGCGGAUUGCUUUUGGAACUGUGAUUCUAGAGUGCAGGAGAGGCAAGUGGAAUUCCUAGUGUAGCGGUGAAAUGCGUAGAUAUUAGGAGGAACACCAGUGGCGAAGGCGACUUGCUGGACUGUAACUGACGUUGAGGCUCGAAAGCGUGGGGAGCAAACAGG
rnacentral:rRNA from 1 species